rnacentral:rRNA from 1 species
AGAUUGCAGGCUGCAACCCGCCUGCAUGAAGUCGGAAUUGCUAGUAAUCGCGGAUCAGCAUGCCGCGGUGAAUACGUUCCCGGGCCUUGUACACACCGCCCGUCACACCAUGGGAGCCGGUAAUACCCGAAGUCGGUGACCUAACCGGAAGGAAGGAGCCGCCGAAGGCAGGACUUAUAACUGGGGUGAAGUCGUAACAAGGUAUC